rnacentral:rRNA from 1 species
AAACAACUCCUAAACCCAUGUGAAACCUACCUUUGUUGCCUCGGCAGGUCUGCAACUUACCCUGAGGGUACCUACCCUGUAGGUACCUUACCCGGUAGUUGCGGGCAUAACCUGCCGGUGGUCUACUAAACUCUGUUUACUAUGUCAUUCUGAAUAAUAUAACUAAAUAAGUUAAAACUUUCAACAACGGAUCUCUUGGUUCUGGCAUCGAUGAAGAACGCAGCGAAAUGCGAUAAGUAAUGUGAAUUGCAGAAUUCAGUGAAUCAUCGAAUCUUUGAACGCACAUUGCGCCCAUUAGUAUUCUAGUGGGCAUGCCUGUUCGAGCGUCAU